GCGCCCUUCGUCUAGCGGUCUAGGACAUCGCCCUUUCACGGCGGAAACACGGGUUCGAGUCCCGUAGGGCGCACCA
rnacentral:tRNA from 1 species